AGCGAACGCUGGCGGCAGGCCUAACACAUGCAAGUCGAACGGCUCUUCGGAGCAGUGGCGGACGGGUGAGUAACGCGUGGGAACGUGCCCUUUGGUUCGGAACAACACAGGGAAACUUGUGCUAAUACCGGAUGAGCCCUUCGGGGGAAAGAUUUAUCGCCAUUGGAGCGGCCCGCGUUGGAUUAGGUAGUUGGUGGGGUAAAGGCCCACCAAGCCGACGAUCCAUAGCUGGUCUGAGAGGAUGAUCAGCCACACUGGGACUGAGACACGGCCCAGACUCCUACGGGAGGCAGCAGUGGGGAAUCUUGCGCAAUGGGCGAAAGCCUGACGCAGCCAUGCCGCGUGAAUGAUGAAGGUCUUAGGAUUGUAAAAUUCUUUCACCGGGGAAGAUAAUGACGGUACCCGGAGAAGAAGCCCCGGCUAACUUCGUGCCAGCAGCCGCGGUAAUACGAAGGGGGCUAGCGUUGCUCGGAAUUACUGGGCGUAAAGGGCGCGUAGGCGGACAGUUUAGUCAGAGGUAAAAGCCCAGGGCUCAACCUUGGAACUGCCUUUGAUACUGGCUGUCUUGAGUUCGGGAGAGGUGAGUGGAAUGCCGAGCUGUAGAGGUGAAAUUCGUAGAUAUUCGGCGGAACACCAAGUGGCGAAGGCGACUCACUGGCCCGAUACUGACGCUGAGGCGCGAAAGC
rnacentral:rRNA from 1 species